rnacentral:rRNA from 1 species
UACGUAGGGCGCAAGCGUUGUCCGGAAUUAUUGGGCGUAAAGAGCUCGUAGGCGGCCAGUUGCGUCUGCUGUGAAAUCCCGGGGCUCAACCCCGGGCGUGCAGUGGAUACGGGCUGGCUAGAGGCAGGCAGGGGAGAACGGAAUUCCCGGUGUAGCGGUGAAAUGCGCAGAUAUCGGGAGGAACACCGGUGGCGAAGGCGGUUCUCUGGGCCUGUACUGACGCUGAGGAGCGAAAGCGUGGGGAGCGAACAGG